GAUGAAGAACGCAGCGAAAUGCGAUAAGUAAUGUGAAUUGCAGAAUUCAGUGAAUCAUCGAAUCUUUGAACGCACAUUGCGCCCGCCAGUAUUCUGGCGAGCAUGCCUGUUCGAGCGUCAUUUCAACCAUCAAGCCCCAGGCUUGUGUUGGAGCCCUGCGGCCGCCGCAGCCUCCCAAAACCAGUGGCGGGCUCGCUAUCACACCGAGUGCAGUAGUUUACUCUUCGCUCAGGGCGUGUGGCGGGUGCUAGCCGUGAAACCCCCAACUUCUCAAGGUUGACCUCGGAUCAGGUAGGAAUACCCGCUGAACUUAAGCAUAUCAAUAAGCGGAGGA
rnacentral:misc_RNA from 1 species